rnacentral:rRNA from 1 species
GGCUGACGCCUGCCCAGUGCCGGAAGGUUAAGGAAGUUGGUCAGGGGGCAACCUUGAAGCUAGCGACCGAAGCCCCGGUGAACGGCGGCCGUAACUAUAACGGUCCUAAGGUAGGCGAAAUUCCUUGUCGGGUAAGUUCCGACCUGCACGAAUGGCGUAACGACUUCCCCACUGUCUCAACCAUAGACCCGGCGAAAUUGAAGUACGAGUAAAGAUGCUCGUUAGUUGCGGAAGGACGGAAAGACCCCAUGGACCUUCACUAUAACUUGGUGUUGAGAUUUGAUCUGCGUUGUGUAGGAUAGGUGGGAGACUUGGAAGCAUUGGCGCCAGCUAGUGUGGAGUCAUCGUUGAAAUACCACCCUACGUAUAUUGGGUCUCUAACCUUGGUCCAUUAUCUGGAUCAGGGACAGCGCCAGGCGGGUAGUUUGACUGGG